rnacentral:lncRNA from 1 species
GCGCUCUUGUCGGUUCCAGCACAAAAUCUCUACGACGACCUCAGAUGGCUCGUAUCAAAUUAUGAAGCCGGUUGUAGCAUUUUCCAUCCACCGUCGAAACAUCUUCAUCGCUGCCUCCUGCAUCGUCCGUAGCCAUUGACGACAGUGAAAACAUCUUCAGUUCAGCCAUGUAGCAUCUACCAACGUUGGUUCCAGCAAAAAACAGUGGCAUGAAUCAGCGAACAAUGGUGUGAUUCCAACAAAACAGACACAUGGUUCCAGCAAAACGAGAAACCGGUUCCAGCAAAAACAACUCACCGUCGCCGAUGGCAGAAAAAUUCUCGCCGGUCCCAGCAAAAACAAACGUCGGUUGUAGCUCGUGAACUACCGGUUGUAGCAUGUUUGACUCACCGUCGAUAUUGGUUAUAGGCAGCUUAUCACCUUGCCGCUUCCAGCUUCUCUGCCGGUAGGUUCCAGCAAAAAUGCUCGUCGGCUGCAGCAACGGGUGCCAGCCCGCGCUCACCUCGAUCACCGCCGUCAUGCACCCCUGGCCACCACCCGCUCGUCACCAUUGUAGCACGGUCGCCGCUGAUUGAAGCACCACGACGGCGUGGUUGUAAGUUGUAACACCGUCGAGCAGCGGGCAUAACAAGUUGGGUUGUCGCAGGCCGCGCAGGUGGAUGGGCGGCCGCUCGCCGGAGCAGCGUGGGGAAGGUGGAUGGCAGCCACUCGCUGGAGCAUCGCAGGGCAGGUGGAUGGCGGCGGCUCACCACAGGGUGUUUCUCUGAUUUGGGGAAGGAAGACACUGCGAUGUGUUGACUGAGCGGAUAAGGAAGAUGGUGCGAGGCGGUUUGCAGGGCCCACGAGGGGACGCGUGGGGAGGAAAGAAGGAAGACGUGGCACAGCCGCUGGCGAG